rnacentral:rRNA from 1 species
UACGUAGGGGGCAAGCGUUGUCCGGAUUUAUUGGGCGUAAAGAGCGUGUAGGCGGCUUCACAGGUCCGCUGUGAAAACUCGAGGCUCAACCUCGAGCUGUCGGUGGAAACCGUGUGGCUAGAGUCCGGAAGAGGAGAGUGGAAUUCCCGGUGUAGCGGUGAAAUGCGCAGAUAUCGAGAAGAACACCCGUGGCGAAGGCGGCUCUCUGGGACGGUACUGACGCUGAGACGCGAAAGCGUGGGGAGCGAACAGG